rnacentral:rRNA from 1 species
AAAGGAAUAGACGGGGGCCCGCACAAGCAGCGGAGCGUGUGGUUUAAUUCGACGCAACGCGAAGAACCUUACCAGGACUUGACAUCGCCUGGAAUAGUGCGGAAACGUGCUAGUCCUUCGGGACCAGGUGACAGAUGCUGCAUGGCUGUCGUCAGCUCGUGCCGUGAGGUGUUGGGUUAAGUCCCGCAACGAGCGCAACCCUCGUCGCUAGUUGAAUGUUCUAGCGAGACUGCCGGGAUAAACUCGGAGGAAGGUGGGGAUGACGUCAAGUCAUCACGGCUCUUACGUCCUGGGCUACACACACGCUACAAUGGGUGGUACAAAGGGUCGCGAUAGCGCGAGCUGGAGCCAAUCCCAAAAAGCCAUCCUCAGUUCAGAUCGGAGGCUGCAACUCGCCUCCGUGAAGGCGGAGUUGCUAGUAACCGCCGGUCAGCACACGGCGGUGAAUACGUUCCCGGGCCUUGUACACACCGCCCGU